AUGUGCCACUCGUAAAUCGCGGUUCGUCUACGUCUGCUUGAUGACUGCUCGCUACGUUCUGUCAGUC
rnacentral:sRNA from 1 species